AGCGAACGCUGGCGGCAGGCCUAACACAUGCAAGUCGAACGAACCUUUCGGGGUUAGUGGCGGACGGGUGAGUAACACGUGGGAACGUGCCUUUAGGUUCGGAAUAACUCAGGGAAACUUGUGCUAAUACCGAAUGUGCCCUUCGGGGGAAAGAUUUAUCGCCUUUAGAGCGGCCCGCGUCUGAUUAGCUAGUUGGUUGAGGUAAUGGCUCACCAAGGCGACGAUCAGUAGCUAGUCUGAGAGGAUGAUCAGCCACAUUGGGACUGAGACACGGCCCAAACUCCUACGGGAGGCAGCAGUGGGGAAUCUUGCGCAAUGGGCGAAAGCCUGACGCAGCCAUGCCGCGUGAAUGAUGAAGGUCUUAGGAUUGUAAAUUCUUUCACCGGGGACGAUAAUGACGGUACCCGGAGAAGAAGCCCCGGCUAACUUCGUG
rnacentral:rRNA from 1 species